CAGUCGUACCUGCGGACAACCAGCUUUUUGAGUGUGAUUAUGUGGACUGUGAGGAGUUUAAUCACCCUCAUGUUUUACGUAUUCGUGCUCUUGGGUGUACUUGCCCAAGAGCACGAAUANGCAAAGCAUGAAGGUGUUAAGCUCCUCAAACUCCAC
rnacentral:rRNA from 1 species